rnacentral:lncRNA from 1 species
AAUCCCGGGGAAAUCAGGGAAAAAUUGGGGAACUGGGAAAUCAGGGAAACCCCGGGAAAUCAGGGGAAAAUCCCGGGAAAAUCAGGGAAAAAAUCUGGGAAAAUCAGGGAAAAAUCCAGGGAAAAUUCCGGGGAAAUCAGGGAAAAAUCCCGAGAAAAUUCCGGGAAAAUCAGGGAAAAAUACGGGGAAAAUUCCGGGAAAAUCAGGGAAAAAUCCACGGAAAAUCCCGGGGAAAUCAGGGAAAAAUCCCGAGGAAAUUCCGGGAAAAUCAGGGAAAAAUCCACGGAAAACCCUGGGGAAAUCAGGGAAAAAAUCUGGGAAAAUCAGGGGAAAAUCCCAGAAAAUCCCGGGAAAAACAGGGGAAAAUUCCACAGAAAAUCCCAGGAAAAUCAGGGAAAAAUCCACGGAAAAUCCCGGGGAAAUUGGGGAAAAUUCCACAGAAAAUCCCGGGAAAAUCAGGGAAAAAUCCUGGGAAAAUUCCGGGGAAAUCGGGGAAAAAAUCCGGGAAAAUUCCGGGGAAAUCGGGGAAAAAAUCCGGGAAAAUUCCAGGAAAAUCCCGGUCAGGGACGGGCAUCCGGGAUUUGGGUGCAAACUCCAGGAUUUGGGGUGGAAACUCUGGGAUUUUGGUGGAAACUCUGGGAUUUUGGUACAAACUCCAGGAUUUGGGGUGGAAACUCCAGGAUUGGGGUGGGAACUGCAGAAUUUGGGUCCAAACUCUGGAAUUGGGGAGGAAACUCCGGGAUUUGGGUACAAACCCCGGGAUUUGGGUACAAACCCCAGGAUUUCAGUACAAACCCCAGGAUUUGGGUACAAACCCCAGGACUUCAGUACAAACCCCAGGAUUUGGGUGCAAACCCCAGGAUUUGGGUGCAAACCCCGGGAUUUCAGUACAAACUCCGGGAUUUCAGUACAAACUCCAGGAUUUGGGUGCAAACUCUGAGAUUUGGGUACAAACCCCAGGAUUUGGGUACAAACCCCAGAAUUUGGGUGCAAACCCCAGGAUUUGGGGUACAAACUCCGGGAUUGGGGCACAAACUCCGGGAUUGGGGCACAAACCCCAGAAUUUGGGUACAAACCCCAGGAUUUGGGUACAAACCCUGGGAUUUGGGUACAAACUCCAGGAUUUGGGUACAAACCCCAAGACUUCAUUACAAACCCCAGGAUUUGGGUACAAACCCCAGGAUUUGGGUGCAAACCCCAGGAUUUGGGUACAAACCCCAGGAUUUGGGGUCCAAACUCUGAGAUUUGGGUACAAACCCCAGGAUUUCAGUGCAAACCCCAGGAUUUGGGUGCAAACCCCAGGAUUUCAUUACAAACUCCAGGAUUUGGGUGCAAACCCCAGGAUUUCAGUACAAACCCCAGGAUUUCAGUACAAACCCCAGGAUUUCAGUACAAACCCCAGAAUUUUGGGUACAAACCCCGGGAUUUGGGCGCAAACCCCAGGAUUUGGGUACAAACCCCGGGAUUUGGGGCCCAAACUCCAGGAUUUCAUUACAAACCCCAGGAUUUGGGUACAAACCCCAGGAUUUCAGUACAAACUCCAGGAUUUGGGUACAAACUCCAGGAUUGGGGUACAAACCCCAGGAUUUCAUUACAAACCCCAGGACUUGGGUACAAACCCCAGGAUUUGGGCACAAACUCCAGGAUUUGGGUACAAACCCCGGGAAUUUUGGGCCCGAACCCCGGGAUUUGGGCUCGC